GACGAACGCUGGCGGCGUGCCUAAUACAUGCAAGUCGAACGCUUCUUUCCUCCCGAGUGCUUGCACUCAAUUGGAAAGAGGAGUGGCGGACGGGUGAGUAACACGUGGGUAACCUACCCAUCAGAGGGGGAUAACACUUGGAAACAGGUGCUAAUACCGCAUAACAGUUUAUGCCGCAUGGCAUAAGAGUGAAAGGCGCUUUCGGGUGUCGCUGAUGGAUGGACCCGCGGUGCAUUAGCUAGUUGGUGAGGUAACGGCUCAUCAAGGCCACGAUGCAUAGCCGACCUGAGAGGGUGAUCGGCCACACUGGGACUGAGACACGGCCCAGACUCCUACGGGAGGCAGCAGUAGGGAAUCUUCGGCAAUGGACGAAAGUCUGACCGAGCAACGCCGCGUGAGUGAAGAAGGUUUUCGGAUCGUAAAACUCUGUUGUUAGAGAAGAACAAGGACGUUAGUAACUGAACGUCCCCUGACGGUAUCUAACCAGAAAGCCACGGCUAACUACGUG
rnacentral:rRNA from 1 species